ACAAGUACCGUGAGGGAAAGUUGCAAAGCACUUUGAAGAGAGAGUUAAAGAGGACGUGAAACCGAUGAGGUGGAAACGGAUAGAGCCAGCGUAUCUGGCCUGUAUUCAGCCGAGUGGACUGUCAAUGUGUGUGCGUUGCUCUCCAGAUUGGGACAGCGCGGGUCCGCUGGCGGUCUGUUUGGUGCAUUUGCAGGUGGAGUGCGUCGAGGCGUUCGUGGUGGCGGAAUGAACUCGGUUUUGAGGCCAGCGUGCUGGUACCCGGACCGUGGGAUUUCUGUUCGGCCUGAGCGCUCGCUGGGGGCAUGGCUUACUGGUUGUAGCGAAGGCCAAGCUGGUAGUUGGUGUCGGCCGCAUGCGACACGGGCUGGCUGCCGGUUUGGCCCCGUUUGCGCCCACUUGCCCACUCUCGGCGUAAAAGCUGGUCACCUAUCCGACCCGUCUUGAAACACGGACCAAGGAGUUUAUCGUGUGCGCGAGUCAUUGGGCGUUGAAAACCCAAAGGCGAAAUGAAAGUGAAUGUGUCCCUCGCGGAUCUGACGUGCGAUCCUGGUAACCUUGGUGACCAGGGGCAGCAUGGCCCCAUCCUGGCUGCUUGCAGUGGGGUGGAGGAAGAGCGUACGCGAUGAGACCCGAAAGAUGGUGAACUAUUCCUGAGCAGGAUGAAGCCAGAGGAAACUCUGGUGGAAGUCCGAAGCGAUUCUGACGUGCAAAUCGAUCGUCUGACUUGGGUAUAGGGGCGAAAGACUAAUCGAACCAUCUAGUAGCUGGUUCCUUCCGA
rnacentral:rRNA from 1 species